rnacentral:misc_RNA from 1 species
GCAAACUUGGUCAUUUAGAGGAAGUAAAAGUCGUAACAAGGUUUCCGUAGGUGAACCUGCGGAAGGAUCAUUACCGAGUACCGGAGCUCUAGAGCUCCUACUCCCACCCUAUGUUGACUUUAAACGUUGCUUUGGCGGACCGGCUCACGCCGCCGGCCCUCGCGCUGGACAGCGUCCGCCAGAGGAUUUUUAAACUCUAUUUAAUGGUGAAUUCUGAGUAUCUUGAAAAUUGAAUCAAAACUUUCAACAACGGAUCUCUUGGUUCUGGCAUCGAUGAAGAACGCAGC